AGCUCCACCGUCUCGCCGAGUGCCAGCAAGAGUCAUGAGUACUUGUCAACUCGACUCCUCAACUGGAGAUAACUUUCUAGCACCUCACCAUGGGGAAGGAUGUAUUCAUAUGCCUUCACCAGCACAUGCAUUUAACAUGCAGAGAGUUACACAAGUUCUUACCACCUUGGGGCACCAUUCAGGUAAAAUCUCAGCUCAUCUUACUUGCUUAUUUGUAUACACUAACACCUGUGCAUGCUUUUGUCCACGUUGUUCCUUUGACGAUGAAUAAAUACCCCUUUUCUUUCUU